GCUGGGCAGAGGGAUCCUUCUUCCAUCAUCACUGGAACUGGAUACAGACCAAAUUCCUGCAAGUCAUGUGCUCCAUUUGUUUUCUGCCAUUCCAGUACAUGAUCUUCACUACUCACUAAGGCUGCUGUAUUCUUGUUGAUGAGACUUUUACUUUGGAUCAAAGGGACUAAAUGACCUCCUGAGUUCCUUCCAACCCGGAUUACUUAACAGCUCUGUGAUCACUGCCCAGGACCAAGCCUGUGUGUAAACCCAUCUCACUGCCUCACCAACUCCUCUCUGCUUUGCUUAUGAGCUCUGAUAAGAUCACAGCUUGAGGUGCAGAGGCAGGACUGCGGCACUCAGGAGACGACUCACUCAGGUUGAUUCUCCACUCAUCAGUCAGUACAGUGCAGAACAGGAUCACAUUAAGUGACAACUGGAAUGGAAUGGAAGAUAUGCAAAUGAUAUUGUUUAUCCACCUGGACUCCAGCAUACAUCUUAAAAUCAAAAGAGGAUCUCCUGGAACUAUGCAAGUAGUCAUUCAUUUCACCAUUCAGGUGAAAUACAGGCUCAGUUCUUGGUAAAGGUUCACAUAAACUGGAUUUUUUUUUUGGUUAAUUAAUCACUUAUGUACACAGACAAGAAUCUGAGUUCACACGUGAAACGGAAUUAACAUGACAAUAAUGACCUCAAAACAUUUUUAAAGUGGUUGGUACAAAA